rnacentral:tmRNA from 1 species
UUAAUGACAAGACCAGGCAAAUACGUGUAUAAUUAAUGCGUCCUAGUUAUGAAAAGGAAUAUGGCGAUAAAUACCUAAUGCAAUAAGCCUAUUGGACCCGGGGGCAGUGCCCGGCGCCUCCACCAUGUGUUUCUUGAGGGCUUUAUGGCAAUCAGCCUUGUCCUUACAGAGGGGGCGAAACAGGAUAGACAAGGGGGUAAAGAUUGGAAGUUCGCUCGGCAUUGUACCACCGUUAUCGGACUAAAACUAUAGUUGCAAAUGAUAACUAUGCUCAGGGAACUUCAACCGCUUUGGCGGCUUAAAGUCCUGAAUUUUAAGUCCUGAAAGGGUUGCACUGACAGGCGGGGUUCGGGAGGCACCUGGCAACAAAAAGCCUCCUUU